rnacentral:rRNA from 1 species
UAACCUGCUAAAUAGUUGCGUUCACUUUGGUGGACGAUCAACUUCUUAGAGGGACUAUGGAUGUUUAAUUCAUGGAAGUUUGAGGCAAUAACAGGUCUGUGACGCCCUUAGAUGUUCUGGGCCGCACGCGCGCUACACUGACGAAGGCAGCAAGUAUUCACCUUGACCGGAAGGUCUGGGUAAUCUUUUGAAACUUUGUCGUGCUGGGGAUAGUCCCUCGCAAUUAUUGGACUUAAACGAGGAAUUCCUAGUAAGUGCAAGUCAUCAGCUUGCGUUGAUUACGUCCCUGCCCUUUGUACACACCGCCCGUCGCU